AAUAUUGGACAAUGGGCGCAAGCCUGAUCCAGCCAUACCGCGUGGGUGAAGAAGGNCUNNGGGUUNUNAAGCCCUUUUGUUGGNNNNNAAAAGCAGCCGGUUAAUACCCGGUUAUUCUGACGGUACCCAAAGAAUAAGCACCGGCUAACUUCGUGCCAGCAGCCGCGGUAAUACGAAGGGUGCAAGCGUUACUCGGAAUUACUGGGCGUAAAGCGUGCGUAGGUGGUUGUUUAAGUCUGUCGUGAAAGCCCUGGGCUCAACCUGGGAAUGGCGAUGGAAACUGGGCGACUAGAGUGUGGCAGAGGGUAGUGGAAUUCCUGGUGUAGCAGUGAAAUGCGUAGAGAUCAGGAGGAACAUCCGUGGCGAAGGCGACUGCCCGGGCCAACACUGACACUGAGGCACGAAAGCGUGGGGAGCGAACAGG
rnacentral:rRNA from 1 species